UGAUUAAAUCAGUUUUCAUUUGUGAGCCCAAGUCACUGACUUUGAUGAGGAUGGCUUGUGUGUGGAUGAUGAACAAGGGUUUCGGUUGCUGGUGUCUCUGGUACAGAGUCAUGGAUUGAAGCAAUGGACAAAUAUAGCAUCCAUCAUGAAAACUAGGGAAGGAAAACAAUGCCGAGAGCGAUGGUUUAAUCAUCUUAGCCCCGAUAUCAAGAAGGAAGCGUGGACUGAAGAGGAGGAGAUAGCCUUGGUCCAGGCACAUGCAGAAGUGGGAAAAAAGUGGACUAAGAUUGCAAAGAGAAUUCCAGGAAGAACUGAGAAUUCAAUCAAAAACCAUUGGAAUUCGACCAAACGUCGGAAGCAAUUAGGUCGUGGUCAUCAGAAGGCUAGUGUGGACGGAAACA